GAUCUCCACAGCACCGCCCCGCGUCUGUCAGUGGGAAAUCGGAAAAGUCAUUGGGUAGUUUGCACGUAGCCGACAACUGCCAAAACUCAGAUGAAUAACAACUUUCCUUUCCUAUACUUCAAAUGGACACAUCAGCAAUACUAUCGUGUCUGCCACUCUGCCGUCGGUUCCCCCGAAUCUGUCACCUUUACAGAGAUGAACAACUAAGAACGACUCCUUUAACACAAUGCUAAGCACACACACCCGCGCGCAUC
ensembl:lncRNA